rnacentral:rRNA from 1 species
AAGGAAUAUUGGUCAAUGCCCGGAAGGGUGAACCAGCCAUGCCGCGUGCAGGAUGACGGCCCUAUGGGUUGUAAACUGCUUUUGGAUAGGAAGAAAGUGGAGUAUUAAUACUUUUUUGACGGUACUAUCAGAAUAAGCACCGGCUAACUCCGUGCCAGCAGCCGCGGUAAUACGGAGGGUGCGAGCGUUAUCUGGAAUUACUGGGUUUAAAGGGUGCGUAGGCGGUUGUAUAAGUCAGGGGUGAAAGGAUUCAGCUUAACUGGAUAAUUGCCUUUGAUACUGUAUGACUAGAAUUGAGCUGAGGUUGGCGGAAUGUGACAUGUAGCGGUGAAAUGCAUAGAUAUGUCAUAGAACACCGAUUGCGAAGGCAGCUGACUGGGCUUAAAUUGACGCUGAGGCACGAAAGCGUGGGGAGCGAAC